GACGAACGCUGGCGGCGCGCCUAACACAUGCAAGUCGAACGGAGUCAAGAGGAGCUUGCUUUUCUUGACUUAGUGGCGAACGGGUGAGUAACGCGUGAGUAACCUGCCCUGGAGUGGGGGACAACAGUUGGAAACGACUGCUAAUACCGCAUAAGCCCACGGAUCCGCAUGGAUCUGCGGGAAAAGGAUUUAUUCGCUUCAGGAUGGACUCGCGUCCAAUUAGCUAGUUGGUGAGGUAACGGCCCACCAAGGCGACGAUUGGUAGCCGGACUGAGAGGUUGGCCGGCCACUGGGGGAGAGAGCCCCGCCCCCGACCCCUCGGGGAGGAGGGGGGGGGGGAUAUGGCAGAGGGGGGAAAACCCUGACACCCCGGCGCCGGGGGGAGAAAAGAGUUUUUCGGAUUAUAAACCCCUCUGUUAAGGAAGUAAAAUCACGGUCCCUAAAAAAAAAACCCCGACAAACUCCGUC
rnacentral:rRNA from 1 species